CCCCUCUCAGGGUUGCACCUGGAGAGUUUCUAGUAGUCUACCAGUCUUGACUACUGGAGGAGAGACAAGCAGAGGCACACCCAUUCCAUUCCUAGCUUGGUCAGUGGCUAGCGAGUGGAAGGCAAUCUGCUACAAGU